GUACUAGCUUAAGUGGUUGAUCUAUUUUCUUUAUAUGUAUUACUUUCACGAGUGAGAUUUUUCCCUCCAUAUAUAUUUUAAUUUUUUUUUUUUGUUACUACCUUUCCUUUUUUUACUAAAGAGGACCCUUUAACAAUUUUGCAAGGCCAAUUUAGUGGUGAUGAACUAUUUUAGUUAUUGCUUGUCCAAGAAACUCUUUUUUUCUCCCUCAAUUCCAAAUGAUAGUCUUGCUGGGUAGAGUAUUCUAUAUUGUAGGUUUUCUUUUUCUUUUUUUUUUUUUAGCAUUUAAAUGUAUCAUAUCAUGCCACUUCUGUCUAAUCAGCAAAAUUUGUCAAAAAUUGCCAGUAGUCUUAUGGGGGUUCCUUUUUAUGUGAUGUCCUUUUAGGGCCAUGCCAGCAGCAUGUGGAGGUUCCCAGGCUAGGGGUCUAAUCAAAGCUGUUGUGGCCAGCCUACACCAGAGCCACAGCAACACCAGAUCCAAGCAAUGUCUGUGACCUACACCACAGCUCAUGGCAGCACCAGAUUCUUCACCCACUGAGCGAGACCAGGGAUCGAACCCACAAAUUCAUGGUUCCUAGUCAGAUUCGUUUCUGCUGUGCCACAAUGGGAACUCCAAGAUUCUUUCUCUUUAAUGUUGCCAUUUUAAUUAGGACAUCUCUUGGUGUGGGUCUUUUGGGAUUCAUCUUGUUUGGGACUCCUUGUAUUUCUUGGACCUGGAUAUCUGUUUCAUCCAUUAAGGAAGGUUUCAAACAUAAUUUCAUCAAAUACAAUUUCUGCCUGUUUCUCCGUCUUGUCCUUUUGGGACCUCUGUAAUGCAAAUGUCAGAAGUUUCUUAAAGCGAAGUUCCCAUUGUGGCUCAACAGAGAUGAAUGUGACUAGUAUCCAUGAGGAUGCAGGUUCAGUCCUUGGCCUCACACAGUGGGUUAAGGAUCCAGUGUUGCCGUGAGUGUGGUGUAGGUUGCAGAUGGGGCUUGGAUCUGGCAUUGCUGUGGCUGUGGCAUAGGCCAGUGGCUGCAGCUCUGAUUUGACCCCUAGUCUAGGAACUUCCAUACUCUAUGUGUGCAGCCCUAAAAGGACAAGAAGUUUCUUAAACUGCUUCCAUUUACUACAUAUAUGUAUAUAUGCUAUUCCGAUAGGUGAUUUCCACCAUUCUGUUUUCCAGGUCGCUUAUGUAUUCUUCAGUGUCACCCCAUCUUCUGUUAAUUCCUUCUAGUGUAUUUUUCAUUUCAGUUAUUAUAUUUGUCAGUUCUUAGUGGUUCUUUUUUAUAUUUUCUAGUUAUUUGAUGAAGUUCUUAUUGUGUUCUUCUAUUAUUUUUCUGAGUUUAGUAAGCAUUUUUAUUGCUGUUACUAUAAACUCUUUAUCAGGUAAGUUAUUUCUGUGUCAUUAGGUUUUUUCUGGGGUUUUAUCUUAUACUUUUGCUUAGAAUCUACUUAUUUAUUUUCUCAUUUUGUUUGAUGUUUGCUGCUUUGGUGGAACACAGGGCUAGAGUUAAAAGAUCUAGAGCCAGAGCCAGGUGUGAGCUGGGGAUUCUCCUAGGCUCAGUGAUAAUUUUGUCCUGAUUGGAGCAGGGCCACGGCCCAAGGAGUUGGAGUUGGAGCCCUGAGGGAAUUGUGCUUCUCCCAGUGUGAUAGUGGUCCUCACCAUGUUUGAAGGCAGCAAAUCUGAGCUAUCUCUGCUUCUUCCUGGUACUUUUGUAGUCUCUGCUUUGGUCAAGGAUGUGGUUGCAUUUGGGGCUGGAGCCACAGUUUCAAGGUUUGCACUGGCUCAGUCAUAGUCUCUGCCUUGAUUGGUGUUGAGGCUGGGGCUGGAGGGGCUGCAGCCACAAAUCUGAGUUAGCUCAGCUUCUCCCCAGGGUGCUCGAUGGAGUCUCUAUCUUGAUUGGGAGUAGUACUGGAUCAGGAGGGGCUAGGGCACAGCGUGUGCAUACCCUGGGACAUAUUGCAGUGUUCUUGGCAGGCCAGCCUGAGCACGAGGAAAUUUUCAAUCUUCUUCUUCCCUGACUCUGGGACCGAGAGAGUCUGUCUCCCUUCUCUUCAAGAGCAGAGUUGGUUUUUAACAGCCCUCCAGUAAGCCUCACUGGUUUUCACAUCAGCCAAGGACUCAUUUUCCUGGCACCAGAGCCCAGUGCCAAGGUGCCCAGUAUGGGGCUUGAGUCCCUCACUCCUUAGGGACGUUCCCUGAGCCUGUGAUAUUCUCAGGAUCUUCUGGAUCACCCACCACAAGUGUGUGUCCUGACUAGAUCACUUCUUCUCUCAUACCAGACUCUGUGAUUCUUUCAUGAUAGCCUUGGUUGUAGAAGAGUCAUUCAGCUACUCUUCAGUUCAUUUUCAGUGAGAAGUGUUCUGUGUGUAGAAUUAGUUUUGUUGUGUUCUUGGGGAUGCUGAUCUCAGGGUCUUUUUACCCUGCUAUAUCUUAAUCUCACCUUUUCCUGUGCAUUACUUUUAGCAGUAAUUAGGAAGCACACUUGAAUUUUUGAAUACAGAAAAAAUGUAACAGUGUAGUGAUGUAUCAAGCAAUGGGAAAACUUCACGCUGCUUGGUCACUGCUUACUUCUUGGAUAGAAUGUCAUAAAAAAUUAAAAAAUCUGUCUCAAAAAUCAGAUUUUUUAUUUAAUAUGGUAUGAAAAUAUCACAUGAUACUGAAAAAAUUUUUUGAAUCAAAAAAUAAAAUGAUAGACUUUUUCUACUGAUUUGUCCUUUAAUCAAAUAUCUGCAAAAUAUCUGUUCGAAUAAAACAUUUUUAAAAGGUAAACAUUUAUAUAUUACCAAAUCUAUAAGGUUAGUUAACCUUGUGAGUCAAUAAAGAUUCUUUUCAACUGAUAACUAAGAAGGUGUAGAAAAUGAAACUCCCCUGCUUGUUAAUUGUACAGCAGUGAGGUUUUCCCAACAGGGUGCCUCUUCUAAGUAGUCCUCUACCAUCUGCAACCCAGGCAAUAAAUUCUGAAGAUAGAUGUAUCAGGACUUUCAAACUGAGGGAUGUUAUUAUUCUUUCCAGUGUUCUGGUAUUUGUGUGGUAAGGAAAGGUUGUUUGUCUAUAAUACCUUAAUACCCUGGGACUAAUACCUUAGUCCUAAAGCUUGAAAUCAUAAUGAACCAAAAACCUGAGUUCCUAAUAAAAUUGCAGACCAAGCUAUUGUGCUAACAAGUAGCUCAGUGGUUUAAAACUUUGGCUGUCUAUUAUAAUCAGCCUAGGUUAAAAAUAUAGCCAUGCCUGGGCUGCAUCCCAGAACAAUUUAAUUGUAAUCUUAGGAAGUCAUGCUAAGGUAUUAGUAGUUUUUAAAAUCUUACCAGUUGAUUUUAAUGGCAGCCAGGCUGUAGACUCACUGAUAAUACUAAAUGUUGAUGCCUAGGCAUAUCAUCAGAGGAAACAAGUGGGGAGCAGGCAGGUAGGCACAAAAGCUGAAUUAUCACUAAACCCUGCACACCUGGGAACAAUAAUCAGACAGUUAAGAUUAGCAGUCUAGAAAAAAAAAUAUGGGUUACCUCGAGCUGCAGAGAAUGAAAACUGAACAAAGUUACAGUGGCCUGUGAUUUGAUGUACAAAACUGUUAAUGAUUUUUCUCUUCUACCCAAAGAUUUAGAGCAUGAAGAAUGUCUAAAAAUAGCGGUUCGUAUGUACAUAAGAAUCACCUCGCAUACAGAUUAUAAAAGAGAUCCUACCCAAGUGGUUCUUUCUUUGGUAGGGCUCAUAAUCUGCUUUUUUAAAUCUAGUGUUUUCUGAUGUAGAUGGACUACAGUUCACAUUUUGCAUAAACAGUGGUCUACGGGAUAAAGAUGCCCUAGCAGAAUAAAUUAUGUGCUUUAAAAAGGAGGAAAUAUCAAGGAGUUCCCAUGGUGGCUCGAUGGUAACAAACCUGACAAGUAUUCAUGAGGAUGCAUGGUCAAUCCCUGGCCUCACUCAGUGGGUUAAGGAUCUGGCAUUGCCGUAAGCUGCAGUGUAGGUUGUAGAUGCAGCUCAGAUCUGAUGUUGCUCUGGUAUAGGCCAUGAGCUACAGCUCCAAUUCAACUCCUAGCCUGGAAACAUGCUGGAAUGUGGCCCUAACAAGUGAAGGAAACAAUAUCAAGAAAAUGAAAAUGUAACACAGAGAAGAAAGGAAAUAAACACUAUCAUUUGAUCAUGCCUAGUUUGUUUGGUUUGGUUUGGAUUGGUUGGUUAAUUUUUGGUAAGGGAAAAACCCAGCAUUGUCUUUACUACAGAAUAAAGAGUAUUCAUAGACAAUGUCACCUGUAGUCAGUAAGAAGAUGAACAGAAUCAUAUCCACUUGAGCUACAGCCCUAACACUGUAUGUUUUGGUAAUGGUUAUAUGAUGUAUAGGAUUAGCUAUGUAUUCAGGAAAAAUGAACCAUGUAUUAAUUCUGGCUCCAUGUAAUUUAAUUUGAGUCCUGGUUCAACUGAAUAUUAGUUUUGUCUAGUUUCCAUGUCACUGGUGAUCAAAUGUGAUUAUGUUGAAAUUACCUGGAGAAUUUUUAAAACCUGGUACUUGGAUCUCUUACCUAGGAAUAAUUGCAAGGGUAUAGAUUGGUCAUUGAGAAGUUUUUAGAGCUCUUCGGGAGAUUAUUAAUAUGCAGUAGAUUUUGAGAAUGACUGCCUUAGGUCAAAGUGGUUUAUUAACAUUAUCUUUUAACAAGUUGAGAAUUAUGUGUUAAGAAUUUUUUUUAAAUAUAUGAAUUAGUAAAUGAGCCCCAGCUUUUUAAUACUGUCAAGUCAUUGUAAUAUGGAUAACCUGAAUCUUUCUUAGGAAACAAACUGUUGGGAUAGUUUAAGAUAAUAGGGCAUACCUUGUUUUACUUGUCUUCACUUUAUUGUGCUUCACAGAGAGUGAGGUUUGUUUUUCUUUUUCUUUUCUUUUUUUUUUUUUUAACAGAUUGAAGGUUUUGGCAACCCUGCAUCAAGCAGGUUUGUCAAUGCCAUUUUUUUUUUCAAUAACAUUUGCUGACUUUGUGUCUCUGUUUCACAUUGGGAUAAUUAUUGCUGUGUUUCAAACUUUUUUUUAAUAUUAUAUGUGUUAUGGUGACCUGUGAUCAGUGAUCUUCGUUCUUACCAUUGUACUAUCUCAGGUUCCAUGAACCACACCCAUAUGAGAUUGUGAACUUAAUGGUAAGUGUUGUGUGUUCUGACUGUUCCAACUACCAGCCAUUCCCCUGUCUCUUUCUACCCACUUGGUCUGUCCUAUUCCCUGAAACAUAACAAUGUUGAAAUUAGGCUAAUUCAUAACCUUACAGUGACCUCUAAGGUUCAUGUGAAAGGAAGAGUCUCACAUUUCUGACUUUAAAUCAAAAGCUAAAAAUGACUAAGCUUAGAGAGGAACACAGUCUACAGGUGAAAUAUGCUGAGAGCUAGGCUUCUUGCACCAGUUAGUCAGAUUGUGAAUACAAAGGCAAGGUUCUUAAAGGGAAUUAGAAGUGCUACUCCAGUGAAUAUAUGAGUGAUAAGAAAGUGAAACAGUCUUAUUCUUAAUAUAGGGAAAGUUUUAUUGGUCUGGAUAGAAGAUCAGAAAGCCGCAAAAUUGCCUCAGGCCAAAGCAAGAGCGAGGUCCUAAGUCCCUUUAAUUCACUGAAGGCUGAGGGAGGCGUGGAAGCCGUAGAAGAAAAAUUUGAAGCUAGUAGGGAUCAUUUCAUGAGGUUUAAGAAAAGAAGCCAUCUUUAUUACAUAAAAGUGCAAGAUGAAGCAAAAUUGCAGAGGUAGAAUCUGCAGCAAAUUAUCCAGAAGAUCUGACUAAGAUAAUCAAUGAAAGUGGUUUAACCGAAGAGAUUUUCUGUGUAGAUAAGAAAGUUUUAUAUUGGAAGACGCUUACGAGGACUUUCAUAGCUAGAGAGGAGAAGCCAAUGGCUGACUUUAAAGGUUUGGAGGACAGAUUGACUCUUUUGUUAGGGGAUAAUACAGAUGGUGACUUUCAGUUGGAGCCAUUGCUCAUUUACCAUUCUGAAAAUUGUAAGGGCCUUUAAAAAUUAUGCUCAAUCUACCCUCCCUAUGCUCUGUAAAUGGAACAACAAAGCAUGGAUGGCAGCACAUCAGUUUAUACUGUUGGUUACCAACUAUUUAAAGUCCUCUUUAGAGUCCUACUGCUCAGAAACAGAUGCCUUUCAAAAUAUUACUGCUCAGAGUUCCCAUUGUGGUACAGCAGAAACGAAUAUGGCUAGUAUCCAUGAGGAUGCGGGUUUGAUCCCUGGCCUUGCUCAGUGGGCCAGGGAUCCGGUGUGGCUGUGAACUGUGGUGUAUGUUGCAAACGCAGCUCUGAUCCCACAUUGCUAUGGCUGUGGCGUAGCCCAGCAGCUAUAACUCCGAUUGGACCCCUCUCUUGGGAAUAUCCACAGGCUGUGGGUGUGCCCUAAGAAGCAAAAAAAAAAAAAAAAAAAAAAAAAAAAAA
rnacentral:lncRNA from 1 species